rnacentral:rRNA from 1 species
UACGAAGGGGGCUAGCGUUGCUCGGAAUCACUGGGCGUAAAGCGCACGUAGGCGGAUUGCUAAGUCAGGGGUGAAAUCCUGGAGCUCAACUCCAGAACUGCCUUUGAUACUGAGGAUCUUGAGUUCGGGAGAGGUGAGUGGAACUGCGAGUGUAGAGGUGAAAUUCGUAGAUAUUCGCAAGAACACCAGUGGCGAAGGCGGACUCACUGGCCCGAUACCUGACGCUGAGGCA